rnacentral:tRNA from 1 species
CUUAAAUAAGAAACAAAAAUUUGUAUUUAGUUUCGACCUAAAAUCUUGGUGAUACCACCCUUAUUUU